UGGGGAAUAUUGGACAAUGGGGGAAACCCUGAUCCAGCAAUGCCGCGUGGGUGAUGAAGGCCUUCGGGUUGUAAAGCCCUUUUGGCGGGGACGAUGAUGACGGUACCCGCAGAAUAAGCCCCGGCUAACUUCGUGCCAGCAGCCGCGGUAAUACGAAGGGGGCUAGCGUUGUUCGGAAUUACUGGGCGUAAAGGGCGCGUAGGCGGUCGUGCAAGUCAGAUGUGAAAGCCCUGGGCUCAACCCAGGAUGUGCAUUUGAUACUGCAUGGCUAGAGUGUCGGAGAGGAUGGUGGAAUUCCCAGUGUAGAGGUGAAAUUCGUAGAUAUUGGGAAGAACACCGGUGGCGAAGGCGACCAUCUGGACGACAACUGACGCUGAGGCGCGAAAGCGUGGGGAGCAAAC
rnacentral:rRNA from 1 species